ensembl:lncRNA
CUUCACUGGUCUGAGAAUAUGUCACCCAGCAAUACAAGAGCUUUGGUGUCUACGAUUGUAUUGCUUACUGUGAAGCUAUUUCGGGCCGACUGACCAUUCCAUACUGUCCUGUCCCGUCCCUGUGGGCUGUGCUUUGCUGACAAGACAAACACGUAUAGUGGAGAGAAAUCUGCAGUAGAGUACAAGUCAAGGCAUGUCCCAACACGCCACCAACAGCCGGAGCAGGCGAUGGAGCCGUCUCCUAGAGGACACACAGAGAGGGAGGAGCCAGGAUCAGACAAGGGGGAAGCCCAGAAAAGACCCAGGCAGCAGCGUGACUCAGCCGGCUUCAACUGCUCAGCAAAAGGGCUGAACACAUGUGCCAUUGACAAGUGAAACACAGGAAGAACGUUAUGUUUGAGCUACACCAUCCACUUGAGGACAGCAGCCAUCCACCCACAAACUGCAUCCCAGAACCAGGGUCUGACGCAGCACGCGAUCAUUCACCUUGGCUGCCUGCUCCGCUCUCCCUUAACUUGGCGCAGCUGUCCACACAUACCCCCCACCCCCUCCAUUGGCUCAGCCCCCCAUAAGCCCCCCACCCAUCCCAACAGCAGCAGUAGGCAGUGAGUGGGGCGUACUAUCGAUCCUGCUGAAAUGAUGGUUUCUAAAAGGGAGGCAGUAAGCAUGUCUGCGCUCCCCUCCUCCGCUGUACAAGGGGCCCGGAGAUAUCACCCAGCUCAGCACAUUGCGCCAUUGCUGCAUGGGAAAAUGGGAUUUUUUCUCUGGCAGACGAGCUGAGGGGAAGGUAAUUCUAUCCGCACAGAUGUGUUUCCUAUCAAGGUUGUAAAAUGAGCCGCAUUACCUUCACUCCUCCCCUGACACAGUGGACAAAUAAGGUCAUUUUUAUUCGUUUAAUUCCCAGGAUAUGACAUGCAAAGUACAUCUAAAGUUGCAGAGAAUGGGAGGAAACAAAAUUAAAUAAUCAACUAUCUACA